GAUGAACGCUGGCGGCGUGCUUAACACAUGCAAGUCGAACGGAAAGGCCCAAGCUUGCUUGGGUACUCGAGUGGCGAACGGGUGAGUAACACGUGGGUGAUCUGCCCUGCACUUCGGGAUAAGCCUGGGAAACUGGGUCUAAUACCGGAUAGGACCACUUCUUGGAUGUUGUGGUGGAAAGUUUUUUCGGUGUGGGAUGAGCUCGCGGCCUAUCAGCUUGUUGGUGGGGUAAUGGCCUACCAAGGCGUCGACGGGUAGCCGGCCUGAGAGGGUGUACGGCCACAUUGGGACUGAGAUACGGCCCAGACUCCUACGGGAGGCAGCAGUGGGGAAUAUUGCACAAUGGGCGCAAGCCUGAUGCAGCGACGCCGCGUGGGGGAUGGCGGCCUUCGGGUUGUAAACUCCUUUCGCUAGGGACGAAGCGUUUUGUGACGGUACCUGGAGAAGAAGCACCGGCUAACUACGUG
rnacentral:rRNA from 1 species